AUUGAACGCUGGCGGAAUGCUUUACACAUGCAAGUCGAACGGCAGCACGGGGCAACCUGGUGGCGAGUGGCGAACGGGUGAGUAAUACAUCGGAACGUGCCCAAUCGUGGGGGAUAACGUAGCGAAAGUUACGCUAAUACCGCAUACGAUCUACGGAUGAAAGCGGGGGAUCGCAAGACCUCGCGCGAAUGGAGCGGCCGAUGUCAGAUUAGGUAGUUGGUGGGGUAAAAAGCCUACCAAGGCGACGAUCCGUAGCGGGUCUGAGAGGAUGAUCCGCCACACUGGGACUGAGACACGGCCCAGACUCCUACGGGAGGCAGCAGUGGGGAAUUUUGGACAAUGGGCGGAAGCCUGAUCCAGCCAUGCCGCGUGAGUGAAGAAGGCC
rnacentral:rRNA from 1 species